GUCUCGAUAGCUCAAACUUUUAAUUAGAGCAUAAUAUUGAAGCUGUUAAGGUGGGCACAUAGCCCUCGGGACA
rnacentral:tRNA from 1 species